rnacentral:rRNA from 1 species
GACGAACGCUGGCGGCGUGCUUAACACAUGCAAGUCGAACGGUAAGGCUCCAGCUUGCUGGGGUACACGAGUGGCGAACGGGUGAGUAACACGUGGGUGACCUGCCCUGCACUUCGGGAUAAGCCUGGGAAACUGGGUCUAAUACCGGAUAGGACCGCACCGUGAGGGUGUGGUGGAAAGUUUUUUCGGUGUGGGAUGGGCCCGCGGCCUAUCAGCUUGUUGGUGGGGUAAUGGCCUACCAAGGCGGCGACGGGUAGCCGGCCUGAGAGGGUGGACGGCCACAUUGGGACUGAGACACGGCCCAGACUCCUACGGGAGGCAGCAGUGGGGAAUAUUGCACAAUGGGCGGAAGCCUGAUGCAGCGACGCCGCGUGGGGGAUGACGGCCUUCGGGUUGUAAACUCCUUUCACCAUCGACGAAGGGUUUCUGACGGUAGAUGGAGAAGAAGCACCGGCUAACUACGUGCCAGCAGCCGCGGUAAUACGUAGGGUGCGAGCGUUGUCCGGAAUUACUGGGCGUAAAGAGCUCGUAGGUGGUUUGUCGCGUCGUCUGUGAAAUUCCGGGGCUUAACUCCGGGCGUGCAGGCGAUACGGGCAUAACUUGAGUACUGUAGGGGAGACUGGAAUUCCUGGUGUAGCGGUGAAAUGCGCAGAUAUCAGGAGGAACACCGGUGGCGAAAGCGGCUCUCUGGUCUGUAACUGACGCUGAGGCUCGAAAGCGUGGGGAGCGAACAGGAUUAGAUACCCUGGUAGUCCACGCCGUAAACGAUGAGUGCUAGGUGUUAGGCCCUUUCCGGGGCUUAGUGCCGCAGCUAACGCAUUAAGCACUCCGCCUGGGGAGUACGACCGCAAGGUUGAAACUCAAAGGAAUUGACGGGGGCCCGCACAAGCGGUGGAGCAUGUGGUUUAAUUCGAAGCAACGCGAAGAACCUUACCAGGUCUUGACAUCCCGAUGCCCGCUCUAGAGAUAGAGUUUUACUUCGGUACAUCGGUGACAGGUGGUGCAUGGUUGUCGUCAGCUCGUGUCGUGAGAUGUUGGGUUAAGUCCCGCAACGAGCGCAACCCUUAUUGUUAGUUGCCAUCAUUCAGUUGGGCACUCUAGCGAGACUGCCGGUAAUAAACCGGAGGAAGGUGGGGAUGACGUCAAAUCAUCAUGCCCCUUAUGACCUGGGCUACACACGUGCUACAAUGGCUGGUACAACGAGUCGCAAGUCGGUGACGGCAAGCUAAUCUCUUAAAGCCAGUCUCAGUUCGGAUUGUAGGCUGCAACUCGCCUACAUGAAGUCGGAAUCGCUAGUAAUCGCGGAUCAGCACGCCGCGGUGAAUACGUUCCCGGGCCU